AAGGAGGGCCUUGUUUGAACACCAUGUUAAGACACGCGCUGAGGAGGAACGUAAUGAAAAAUGAGUAGCUCAGAAGGCUGUAAUAGAGGGAUUCAAGCAGUUACUUGAAGAAGCAUUAGAGGAUAUUGACCACAACACUGAAAAUCAAACAUUCAGAAAGAAAUGGGGCAGUGAUCCACGAUUUGAGGCAUUAGACUGCAAGGAUCGAGAACUUUAAUUGAACGAAAGUAGGAUGCAUCACUUUUAAUAUGGCUUAGCUCAUGUCUGUUUUAGCUUGGGAAGAUCGCUAGUUGAUGCCAUGCAGAACCCUCGGAGAGUUUUGGUCAAGUUACAUGUAUGAGGUUUAAUUUCAGCUCUUUCUUUGAACUGUUCAUUGCAAAGUUGUCUUGUCACAUAACUAAUUUAAAAUGAUAUUUAUUCUUUUGUCUUUCUCAUCUUUUUUCCUUGAGUAUUGUUUAGUAACUUGAGUUAAAUAUCUGGUUUGUGAUGCCAUCAUUAAUUAAGUGAGCCCAUUAUUAAACUGGACUAAGGCUAGCUGAUUAUUAUUUUGGACCAAAAGAUUGUCUUGUUACAUAACUAAUUUAAAAUGAUAUUUAUUCUUUAUCUUUCUCAUCUUUUCUCCUUGAGUAUUGUUUAGUAACUUGAGUUAAAUAUCUGGUUUGUGAUGCCAUCAUUAAUUAGGUGAGCCCAUUAUUAAACUGGACCUAGGCUAGCUGAUUAUUAAUUUGGACCAAAAGAUUGUCUGCAUGUCUGAUAUUUUCUGUUUGGUCUUUGAUGCGAACCUACGCAGAUUCUUUUACUCAACCACACACAAAAUAUUAAUCACCGGAAUGUAUUCAAACAAUUCAAUGUAAACAUCAAGAAUCACCAAUCUAUAUAACUACAGUGAGUUGUUAAGCAUUACACUCAUUCAGAUUGAUUAUAUCCCAACACAAGAAUAACAGGAAAUUAAUCAAACAAUAACAAUGGAAAACUAAUACGCUGGACUUCGAGGGCCAGCUACCUUCCCUUCACUAUAUUCUCUUCAGAUACCCUUUCUCCAUCUUCUGCUACUCCUUUUAUUCACUCCCUUUUCCUAACAGAAUUCAACCAUCCACCAUUCUCCUUUCGCCACCUGUCCACUCCACUUUUUCUUCUCUUCACACAUUAGUUGCCUUUUUAUCUCAAUUAAUCCUCUAUUGCUUCUUCCUAUGCUUAUUAUUAUAUACCA